rnacentral:rRNA from 1 species
AGGACGAACGCUGGCGGCGUGCUUAACACAUGCAAGUCGAGGGGGCCAGCAAUGGUCACCGGCGAACGGGUGCGUAACACGUGAGCAACCUGCCGCAGAGUGGGGGAUAGCCGGCCCAACGGCCGGGUAAUACCGCAUACGAUCGCCUGGGGGAGUCCCCGGGCGAUGAAAGAUUUAUUGCUCUGCGAGGGGCUCGCGGCCUAUCAGCUAGUUGGCGAGGUAACGGCUCACCAAGGCGACGACGGGUAGC